AUCUACAGUGUUUGGACGUUUUUGCCCUCAAAAAAGUCCAACUAAAGUGCUUUUGUUUACUGUCCAAUUGUCAUCCAGUGGUUAUUCAUCUGUUCUCUGUCUCGGUCUCUCCUCCAUCACACACGCAUACUUCUCUCUCCUCUUCUCAUGCUCUUCCUUCUUCCUCUUCUCACCGAAGACACUCACGAAGAGCACAGCGGCAGCCGCCUAGAAUUGCUGAGAUAAUUUGACCAAGCAAAAGACAAGUUUGAGUAAUAGAGAAUAUGAAGCUGCGUCCUUGUUGAUAUUCUUGAAAAACCUAUGAUUCAGUAGACGCCUCUUCACUCAAAGUUCAGAGCUUUGAUUUCAUCGAUUAGCACCUCGCGUGGGUUUGAAGUGAAUUUGAUAUCUCUGAAUUGUUGGUUUUGAAGUUCAACAAAGAAAAUAAUGGAGUCAUUCUUCCAAUCACAAUCAGGUUAUGGAAGCUCUUGACCAUUCGAAUCUUCAUGAGAUUUCUUACACCGUUCAAUCUCACCUCGAAUAGGGUUUUACUCUAUUUCCAUGGUCAAAUGGUGAAUCUUGGUGCUAAGGGUUAGAUGUUUUGGCUUCAAUAAAGUACUAUUCAAAUCAACAGGGUGCCCAAAUGCCCAUUAUGCAAAAUGUGAUUAGUGGCUCGUGCUAUGUUAAAGCCUUGAUAAUCUAGGAUGCCCUUAUUGUGUCUAAUGUUGAUGAUGAUGAUGAUGAUUGUGGUGUUGUUCUACCAGCGAUGGCAUCGGCUCCUACCAUCCCUUUGUAAUGCACUUGUACCUGCUCUCGAAGUUCUCCUCGAAAAUUUCGAACUCCUUGCCAUUGAUCGUUGCCAAGGUGCUAGAUAUUUGACAUUUCUUCACCCUUAUGUCAUGUUUUUAGCCUUUACAGUGCGGUUGCAUCAGAAAAAGGAGAAUCAUGUUGAGGUUGUUGUUCCUGACCCAAAGGCUGAUGAGGUAUUGGUUAAGAUUUGAGGCAGCAACUCGGAAUGUGAUUGAGGGGAAGAUACGGAAUUGUAUUCUUCCCCGCAAGUUCCUAACAAUUCCUGGUCAAGGCACUUAUGAAGGAUCAUUUAAAUGGAAAAGCAGGAGGAUCAAGCGAAAAGUCGUCUGAGCCCAGUGCAUCAGUUGAACUGAACUCACGUAACCUUGAUGAUUUAGUGCUGAAAUGCCUGAAAAGCAAAGAUGUUUGGGCUGUAGAGUUCUUUGCACCCUGGAAAACCAGAGUUUCAUGGCCAUCCAAGCUUUUUAUUUGGACAGUCAAUGGGUAGGGCUGUGGCUCUAAAGGUGCACCUUAAGCAACCUAAUGCUUGAAAUGGCGUUGUUCUAUUGGCACCCAUGUGCAAAGUACUCUUCUUAGUUGCUUACAAGGAUAAACCGUGUUCGAAGACUAUUAUUGACCUGCUUCACACAACAGAUAGUAGCUCGUCGACGGGAAGAAGUCUAUUUCUUUGAGGCUUUGAGGUGCAGACUUGUAGAUACUUCCACUCUCUCAGUUCAUAGUGCAGCGAAAUGCUUGACUUUUCAUGCUUUGCCAGUGAUAUGCGGUGUUCUAGCUAAACACCCAUAUGCAGGCUGCUGAGCUACGUGACCAAGAACUAGAGCUGAAGGUACAAAUAUCUGCACUCUUAAGCCAAGACAAGGAACAGAAAGAGGCUAAUAUGGACUACGCUGGAGCAGUUGUGACAGAUGCAGAGAUUAGGGUAAUAGUUUUCUCUUGGACAGAUAUACAAGUUCAGAAAGUUUCAUCUGACGAAUCAAUCUCCAUGGUCGUGUAAUAGGUCAAGACGAAGCUGUCAAAGCUAUCAGCCGUGCAAUUCAGCAUUCUCGCGUUGGUCUAAAGGAUCUUGACUGUCAAUUGCCAGCUUCAUCUUUUCCGUUCCAACUGUGUAGGAAAGUCAGAACUUGCAAAAGCUUUAGCUGCUUACUACUUUGGUUCUGAAGAAGCCAUGGUCUGCCUUCAUAUGAGUGAGUUCAUGGAACGACACGGUUUUUAAGUUGAUCGGUUUACCCGCAGGUUAUGUUGGUUAUUCUGAGGUUGGGCAGCUUACUAAGGCUGUGAGGCGAUGAGUUCAACAUGAUGCUGCAAAUUUUAGAAGACGGAACAUUAACCGACAGCAUGGGAAAAACUGUGAGUUUUAAAAAUACUCUUAUGAUUAUGACCUCAAAUGUUGGAAGCAGUGUAAUUGAGAAAGGUGGCUGCAGUAUGGGAUUUGAUCUGAGUUACGACGAUCAUGAUAUCAGUUAUAACAGGAUAAAGACUUUGGUGGUCAAGGAGCUUAAGGAAAGAGAAAGAGAUUAAGAACUUACUUCAUUUGAUGACGAAAUUCCAAUCUGGCGAUGACGAAAUUGUAAUUGUAGCUAAUGUAGUGCAUGAGGAAAGAUCUGUUUGACACUUUCCUUAUCUGCUAUCAAAGAAGAUCUAUUUUAAAAUGUCA